rnacentral:rRNA from 1 species
UACGUAGGCAGCGAGCGUUGUUCGGAGUUACUGGGCGUAAAGGGUGCGUAGGCGGUUGUUUAAGUUUGGUGUGAAAUCUCCCCGGCUCAACUGGGAGGGUGCGCCGAAUACUGAAUGACUAGAGUGCGGGAGAGGAGAGUGGAAUUCCUGGUGUAGCGGUGAAAUGCGUAGAUAUCAGGAGGAACACCGGUGGUGUAGACGGCUCUCUGGACCGUAACUGACGCUGAGGCACGAAAGCGUGGGUAGCAAACAGG